GAUGAACGCUGGCGGCGUGCCUAAUACAUGCAAGUCGAGCGAACGGACGAGAAGCUUGCUUCUCUGAUGCUAGCGGCGGACGGGUGAGUAACACGUGGAUAACCUACCUAUAAGACUGGGAUAACUUCGGGAAACCGGAGCUAAUACCGGAUAAUAUUUUGAACCGCAUGGUUCAAAAGUGAAAGACGGUCUUGCUGUCACUUAUAGAUGGAUCCGCGCUGCAUUAGCUAGUUGGUAAGGUAACGGCUUACCAAGGCAACGAUGCAUAGCCGACCUGAGAGGGUGAUCGGCCACACUGGAACUGAGACACGGUCCAGACUCCUACGGGAGGCAGCAGUAGGGAAUCUUCCGCAAUGGGCGAAAGCCUGACGGAGCAACGCCGCGUGAGUGAUGAAGGUCUUCGGAUCGUAAAACUCUGUUAUUAGGGAAGAACAUAUGUGUAAGUAACUGUGCACAUCUUGACGGUACCUAAUCAGAAAGCCACGGCUAACUACGUGCCAGCAGCCGCGGUAAUACGUAGGUGGCAAGCGUUAUCCGGAAUUAUUGGGCGUAAAGCGCGCGUAGGCGGUUUUUUAGUCUGAUGUGAAAGCCCACGGCUCAACCGUGGAGGGUCAUUGGAAACUGGAAAACUUGAGUGCAGAAGAGGAAAGUGGAAUUCCAUGUGUAGCGGUGAAAUGCGCAGAGAUAUGGAGGAACACCAGUGGCGAAGGCGACUUUCUGGUCUGUAACUGACGCUGAUGUGCGAAAGCGUGGGGAUCAAACAGGAUUAGAUACCCUGGUAGUCCACGCCGUAAACGAUGAGUGCUAAGUGUUAGGGGGUUUCCGCCCCUUAGUGCUGCAGCUAACGCAUUAAGCACUCCGCCUGGGGAGUACGACCGCAAGGUUGAAACUCAAAGGAAUUGACGGGGACCCGCACAAGCGGUGGAGCAUGUGGUUUAAUUCGAAGCAACGCGAAGAACCUUACCAAAUCUUGACAUCCUUUGACAACUCUAGAGAUAGAGCCUUCCCCUUCGGGGGACAAAGUGACAGGUGGUGCAUGGUUGUCGUCAGCUCGUGUCGUGAGAUGUUGGGUUAAGUCCCGCAACGAGCGCAACCCUUAAGCUUAGUUGCCAUCAUUAAGUUGGGCACUCUAAGUUGACUGCCGGUGACAAACCGGAGGAAGGUGGGGAUGACGUCAAAUCAUCAUGCCCCUUAUGAUUUGGGCUACACACGUGCUACAAUGGACAAUACAAAGGGCAGCGAAACCGCGAGGUCAAGCAAAUCCCAUAAAGUUGUUCUCAGUUCGGAUUGUAGUCUGCAACUCGACUACAUGAAGCUGGAAUCGCUAGUAAUCGUAGAUCAGCAUGCUACGGUGAAUACGUUCCCGGGUCU
rnacentral:rRNA from 1 species